UUCCCUAUGCUCAUGACUUCACAGACUAAAAAAUAAUCUCUCAAAGAUGCUUAAUGAUUGAUGUUGGUCUCUCUGGCUGAGCUUUUUUUUAGCAUAUACUUCCAAAUCAGAAACAGCCAAGAAACUACAAAUGUAUCAGUUACUCCAUCACAAUUCUUUGUUCUAUUUUUGCUCAUCAAGCAUGCAGUAAUGACUGUGCAUGGCAAACGUGGCAGACCUCCAAUCAAGAACAAGCAUCAAUUUGGCGAAGCUGUGACCACUAAUUAUAAUUAAGGUUGGUAUGAACCCCUCUUCCCGACUUCGAUUUCAAAGUUUUUCUUUCAUUUUUUAUACAAUUUUUGUUCGCAAUUGUUCUAUAUAUAAUCUAUACACAGUGAGAUUUGCUUUAUUGUUCCCUUUGUGUUGCUCAAGAAAACAUGAGAAUCCGAGCAAAGUGGAAGUUCCUGAGCAAACAAUUCAGGAACUUACACUUUUCUUUAUAUAUAUAUAUAUAUAUAUAUAUAUAGAUAAGCAACAUCUGUGUAGUGUAGGAGAAAUGAGGGGAAUAUUUUUGGCAUUGGGAAAGGGAUGGGAUAUGAUACCCACACUCAAAAGUGUUUGAUUGGGUUUAGCUUUACCAUAUUGGAUUUCAAUUCUGGCUUUGUACUAGCAUCGUGCUUUCGCAUUUGCUUCUACUGAAACUACAUAAUAUACAAAGGGAAUAUACGCAGAAGAAAUAAUUUAAACAAACAAACUUCCCAUUCAUAUAUUUUAGAAAAAGAAAAUUUUAUCAAUUGGUAAAAAGGAUUAGCUAUAGAACCAACUCUUUACCAAUUAGUACACUGAAACAAACAUAAUUCUCUGUAAAAGUAAAAUUAAUUGCAAGCUGAAAUUUUCACCAUUCUUAUUGAAAAAUCACUCCCAUUACGACAGUGCGAUAGUAGAUGGUUGAACAAAUCCAGGGAAUAAGCAUAUAAAAUAAAAAAACAAUCAUAAAGCAUUUAGUAAAAGAUAUGGUUCUUGUACUUAGAUUGUAAAGAUGGAAUGGAAUAUGAAGCAAAGUGUUGGAUUAUGACAGCAAUCACUCAUAGACCUGAUGCAUUUCUAAACUUUAAAUUUAAGAGGCUUAAAUGCAAAUAUUUUAAGCUUUCAACUUAGAGGUUCUUUUACCCAUUCAACUUACUUUCAAAAAUGUUAUGUUUCUGAAUGUGUCAUUGAAAAAUAUGCUACACCUUCAAACUGAAAAGCAUAUAGUAAAAACAGAUGCAGACAUGGAAAGAAGUUCUGCAUGUAGAAAACAUCAAACUAAUUACAUUAUCGAACAAAAAGUAACUAAGAUUACCAAUUUUCCAAUAAUGUAAGCACCAAAAUGAGAAAAAAAAAAUGGAAUCAUGUUAUGCUUCAUAGUUAUGUAGCCUCCACUUUUCUUAAAUAACAUGCUAAUGCAUAUAAAUAUGAAAGAAAAUUGCAUCAAAUGGUUAACAAAACAAUUUGCUGCUUACUCGGGUUUAUUUUGCAUGACUUCUUGAAUUUUUUGCAAUGUAUUUGCAUCACAUUCAUGGCUACAAAGACAUACUUUUGUCUUAUUGUUUUUUUAUUCCUGUACUUUUUCCUUCUCAUAAAUAAUUUGGCAGACCAACAACAUACUUGUUUAUUUCAAUGGGGGCAUGUGAAGGGCUUUUACUAAAUUAUUAUACAUACUUUAGAAGAGACAUUACUAAUAAGUAUCAGAAUCUAAAUCACAAAAGGAAAAAGGAAGAUGUCCAUGAUGCUUCUUGAUGCAAAUAAACAAUGCAAUCAAUGUCCAAUGAGUUUUGGUUCAGUGGUAUUAGAAUGGUCUUCAGAACUAUAACAUUGCAAAUUUGAACCCCAAACAAGGCCAAAUUAACCAAAAAAAAAAAAAAAGCUCAAUCAAUGAGAACAAAUAACUCAUAUAAAAUGACAAAAUUAAGCUUCAACACCUACAACAUUAGUUCCUUUGAGUAGAUAAAUCUCAAUCUAGUUUUAUGCAUACCAUUACUUUCCCUAAAAUGGAUAUGUCCAUGGAAUUAGCUUCUUUUUUUUUUUUUUUUUCUCUGUUGCAAGAGAUGCAAAAUUUCAUUUAGAACAAUCAUUUCUGAAAUUAAGAACAAUUUUUUUUUUUUUAACCGUUAACUGUGAAUAUAUUAUCUUGAAAAAUUAUUUGUGUUUUAAAGAAACAAUUAAACUACAUUCAUAUGCUUUCAAGAAUACAUCAUUAUACAUGUCAAAUCAUAAAUAUUUUGUUUUUUCCCUUAGCCAAGAUUUCAUUAUUACUAUCUUCAUCAUUAUUACUCUCUUCACUAUUACUAUAUUCCUAUAUAAAGGUUUUCAGCCAAAGUAGAAUAGCAGAAAAAAAAAUACUAAAUAGGCAAAUGAUGUACUGUGCUGGUGACAGACACAGCAACAACCCUGCUCAAUUAUAUUUUUUUAAAAUACUUUAUAUAACAUGAACAUUUAAAACAAGUAGAUAGAUGCAUCCAAUAAAUUUUCCACAGAAAGUAUGUUCCACUGAAAUCAAGCUUAGAUUACACAGUUUACAUAUAGCAGAAAAUUCAUUUCCAGUUAUAAUAUCUAGCCAAACAACUUAUAAUGCACCUUAACUUUCCAAACCAAGUGUAGAUAGCCAAUAUUGGCUCAAAAUGACAAAAACAAAUUAAUAUUUAACAGAAAAAAUCCAUAAUCAUCAGCUAGUAUCUAAGGUAAAACACUUCACAUCACUGAUCUGGUAUACAAACAACUUCCACAUUUUUCUAUUAAUCAUGUAUAUGAUAUACAUAGUAGUCUACUAUAUAUAACAAAAUUAUGAAUUUUGUUCUAGAGGAUUUUUUAUUCAUUUUAAAACUAGCAAUAAUAAUAAAGUAUGCAUUGGUUUUGAUAGCAUUUAAUCUCAUAAUAACUAUAUUUUUAGAAUGAAAAUUAACACCUAAAAGGACAUUUCUUUGCCUGUAAUUGGAAAUGAGUGAGAUUUGGUUAAAGUAACUUCUUUAAUUUAGACUUCACAAAAGAUUAGAUGCAAAUGAUGUGAACAAAAAUAAUAUUUAAACAAAUUAUUUAUGCACUUAAACUAAAAUAGAGGUAAUCAUAUAUAUAUAUAUAUAUAUAUAUAUAUAUAUAUAUAUAUAUAAAAAAAAAGAAAGAAGAUCCGUCAGCAAUCUUUUUGUUUCUGAGAAAGAAAUAAAGAAAAAAAAAGGUCUUUUUUUUUUUAAUUACUUCAUACAAGAAAAUGAACACAUUAAAGACAACCAAAUCUUAGUUAAACAAAAAGAAAAUGUACCCAUCUGAAGAGGCGAAAGCUUGUGGUUUCUAUUUGAUCUUAGUUGAUGUUGCAGUACAAAAACUAAACCAGUGCAAUAUGACAAAUAUACAUUUAAUAGGAAAGAUACAGAAUGGAUGUGGGUAGUCUCAUUAGGUGUCGGCAAUAUUGAAAACAAACUGUUUACAUCCAAAAAUAAUAGUAUUAGCAAAGAAACAAGAAACCAUUUUUCAAGAAACAAAGACUUCUUUUUCUUCUUAUUGGGAGGAGAGAAAUCUUUUAGGUGCAGAGAGUCUAUAUAUAAUGUAUAGUAAUUAAAAGAAGAGAACAUGUUUUGGGUCAGAUGGUUUGUAGAGUAAGGAAAGCUUCUCAAUCUUUCAGUUUCUUCACAUGAUCCAAAUUUUCACUUAUUAAGAAACAUUAAUAUAACCAUAUCAAAAUCACAUCAACUCUACAUAUAUAACAGUAGGUGUACAUAUAAAUAACAUGUUGCAGGUGCAUUAAACUAGAGUAGUUGAUGAGUAAUAUUUCCAUUUUUAUCAUCAAAGUCACAUCUUUGCAUGUCUAUUCUAAUUAAGGAACUCAUGAGAGAAAAUUAAUGAUAUAAUAAUAAUAAUAAUGUAAUAAUAAGUGUUCACAUGAGCAUGUUUUAUUUGUUUUGUUUAAUUAAAUUCUGAUAAGUACUAAGACCAUUUCAAUAUCAAUUUGCAAAAGAACAUUUACGAUUUGUGAACUUGUUUUUCAGGAAAGAGGGAAAAUUUUAAUUUAAAAUAAUAAUUAAUUAAUAAUAUUAUAUAAUAACAAUAUCACAUGAGCAUUUUUUGUUUCUUUUAAUUAAUUAGGCUUAAUUAGCAACCUUACCCUUGUAAAACCAUUUCAAUAUCAGUAUUAAAAAAACAAAAAUCAUUUAUUUGUGAACAUGUUUUUCAAGAAAGAGGAAGAGAGAGAGAGUUUUUUUUCUUAUUUCAAUUUUUCUUUGAGUUACCUUUUGAACUAGAAUGAUCUCUCAUGCAUGGCUGGACACUGCCCAUACCGCGUUAAGAAAAAUGUUGUCGUCUUUGUAGUUUGUCCAACCAUAGAAGAAACCAUUUCAAACCGGCAAAUUUACGGGUAAGCAGGGAAAAAGCACCUUCCAAUAUCAAUAUGCUACAACUAGCUAGCUAGUGUAAUGCAAAUUCAACUCAAACAGACAAAAAAUUAUAUAAUAAUAACAAUAAUAGUAAAUUUAGAAAAGAAAAUCAAGAAACAGCCACAUACUACACUACACUAUACGCUACAUGCUUGUACCAACACAACUUCAGAAAGAAAUAAAUCAAGAAUCAAGAAUUAAAGAAAUGAAGAACCAAGUAAGAAAGAAAAAUAUGAAUAACUUAAAUUUAAGCUAUGAAAUUUGGACGAGAACAACAACAACAGCACGUUCUCUAUUUCUCUCUCUCUCUCUCUCUUUUUUUUUUUCUCUUUCUUUCUUUUUUUUUCUUUUUUUUUAUUACUAUUAUUUUUCAUGAUCUUGGAUUUGGGAAGAAUUGCGUACCAGCAAUGAAAGUAUUGAGUGGAGUUGGGUAUAGAGAAGAUGCAUCCAUAAAAGCAGCUGCACUAGAUGAAGCAGAUGUUACACCACCACCACCAGCAGUGGGAGAUAUUGCAACUGAUGACGCAGAGACAGUACCAGC
rnacentral:lncRNA from 1 species